GACGCUCGGAGCGCCCGGUGUCCUGCGCGUCUCCGCUUUGAGGCUGAGCGGAGGACGCCGAGCGACCGACCGGUGGGCUUCAGAGAGCCCGAGUCCGGCUGAGCUCCGGCGGGACCUGGUGCCUCACGAUCCCGAGAGCCGAACGGGAGGGAUUCCUGUCACCGGGGCUCCCGAGGAGUAGCCAGGGUGCAGCCCGUAGGUCAGGCUUGGGGCGCUGCGCGAGGAGCUGGGUUUGUAGCUGACUUCCACUGUGCUGUCUGCCGGGUAGAGUUACGCUCCGCGCCUUUGUACAGGAGCCGGCGCCUGUUGGGGCAAGGAAGGAGCCGGGAUGGCCUGGGCUCUGAAGCUGCCGCUAGCCGACGAAGUGAUCGAGUCGGGGCUUGUGCAGGACUUUGAUGCUAGCCUGUCCGGCAUUGGCCAGGAACUGGGUGCUGGUGCUUAUAGUAUGAGGUACCUGUCGUAGGGUUUCUAUUCCUGCACAAACAUCAUGACGAAGAAGCAAGUUGGGGAGGAAAGGGUUUAUUCGGCUUACAUUUCCAUACUGCUGUUCAUCACCAAAGGAGGUCAGGACUGGAACUCAAGCAAGUCAGAAAGCAGGAGCUGAUGCAGAGGCCAUGGAGGGAUGUUCUUUACUGGUUUGCCUCCCCUGGCUUGCUCAGCCUGCUCUCUUACAGAACCCAAGACUACCAGCCCAGAGAUGGUCCUACCCACAAGGGGCCUUUUCCCCUUGAUCACUAAUUGAGAAAAUGCCUUACAGUUGGAUCUCAUGGAGGCAUUUCCUCAACUGAAGCUCCUUUCUCUGUGAUAACUCCAGCUGUGUCAAGUUGACACAAAACUAGCCAGUACAAUUGACCCCUUAUCAACAUGACACAUAAACACUAGUAAGUCUCAACCCUUACAUUCUUAUUCAUCCCCAAGAUCUAAAUAACUUUAAAAGUCCUACAGUCUUUACAUAUUCUUAAAAUUUCAAUCUCUUUAAAAUAGCCAUCUCUUAAAAUUCAAAGUCUUUUUACAAUUAAAAGUCUCUUAACUGUGGGCUCCACUAAAACAGUUUCUUCCUUCAAAAGGGAAAUUAUCAGGGCACAGUCACAAUCAAAAGCAAAAAUCAGUCUCCAACCAUCCAAUGUCUGGGAUCCAACUCACGAUCUUCUGGGCUCCACCAAGGGCUUGGGUCACUUCUCCAGCUAUGCCCUUUGUAGCACACACGUCAUCCUCUAGGCUCCAGAUGCCUGUACUCUACUGCUGCUGCUGCUCUUGAUGGUCAUCUCAUGGUACUGUCAUCUCCAAAACAAUGCGUGACCCCUUCAGUCCUGGGCCUUCAAUUGCAACUGAGGCUGCACCUUCACCAAUGACCUUCCGUGUCCUCUCAGUGCCGAGCCUCAGCUGUUCUGCGUGACCCCUUCAUGCCUUCAAAACCAGUACCACUUGGGUGACCCUUACAUAUUACCAUGUCCCGCUGCAGCAGGAGUACAACCUUGGCUAUCUGUGGAACACAGCCUCUUUGUGCUUUCAGAAAAUACUUCCCAGAAGAUGUCACCUCAAUGAUGCUGGUCUCUUCUUAAUCACCGCUAAUUUCUUAGCUCCAGCUAUCCAGCAUCAAUAGUCCCAGUAAUGCAAAGUUUUUGCUUUGGUAGUUCUGGUAUCUUGUUAAUCACAGCUGAUUCUUCAGCCCCAGCUAACCAGAACUACAGAAUCUUCACAAUCAAAACAGCAAUGGCCCUGAAAAGAGUGUUUAAUUUUCCCUCUGAAAUUUCACAAGUCAGGCCUCCAUCUUCUGCACUGUUCUCAACAUUAUCUUCCAAGCUCCUACAAAACGUCUGACAGAGGUCUUAACACCGAAUGGAUCUUCUAGCCCAAAGUUCCAAAGUCCUUCCACAGUCCUCCCCAAAACAUGGUCAGGUUGUCACAGGAAUACCCCACUCUGCUGGUACCAAUUUGUCUUAGUCAGGGUUUCUAUUCCUGCACAAACAUCAUGACCAAGAAGCAAGUUCGGGAGGAAAGGGUUUAUUCAGCUUAUACUUCCAUACUGCUGUUCAUCACCAAAGGAAGUCAGGACUGGAACUCAAGCAGGUCAGAAAGCAGGGGCUGAUGCAGAAGCCAUGGAGGGAUGUUUUUUACUGGCUUGCUCAUCCUGCUCUCUUAUAGAUCCCAAGACUACCAGCCCAGAGAUGGCCCCACCCACAAGGGGCCUUUCCCCCUUGAUCACUAAUUGAGAAAAUGCCCUACAGCUGGAUCUCAUGGAGGCAUUUCUUCAACUGAAGCUCCUUUCUCUGUGAUAACUCCAGCUGUGUCAAGUUGACACAAAACUAGCCAGUACAGUACCUCAUCUGUAACUUCCUGUAUCUUUCUUUCUUUCUUUCUUUCUUUAUUUAUUUAUUUUUGGUUUUUCGAGACAGGAUUUCUCUGUAUAGCCCUGGCUGUCCUGGAACUCACUUUGUAGACCAGGCUGGCCUCAAACUAAGAAAUCCCCCUGCCUCUGCCUCCCGAGUGCUGGAAUUAAAGGCGUGCACCACCAGGCCCAGCUCCCUGUAUCUCUUUUAAAAGAGUACUUAUGUGUAUGGGCAAAGAAGAAAACUUAAAUGCAAGAUAAAGAAGACAAAACAAUAAUGAACUUGUGGGCUUUUUUGACCUAAAAAGAAGUUUUAAGGUGCAACACUAUAACAAACUAAAUUGGGGUCUUGUAGUUACUAGAAAUAAAAUGCAGAUUCCUGUUGGCUUUC
rnacentral:lncRNA from 1 species